AUCUUCCAUCUGCUGGGGGCAGAUAAAGUGGAUGUGGCUGUCCAUGCCCCCCGCCGUCAGGAUGCGGCCUUCGCCUGCAAUCACCUCGGUCCCCGGACCGACGAUGAUAUCCACACCGGAUUGGGUGUCAGGAUUGCCCGCUUUGCCGAUGGCGUGGAUCAGCCCAUCUUUCAGCGCGACAUCGGCUUUAUAGAUGCCUGCAUGAUCCACGAUCAGCGCGUUGGUGAUAAUGGUAUCGACGGCCCCGCCGGCGCGGGUGACCUGGGAUUGGCCCAUACCAUCGCGGAU
rnacentral:sRNA from 1 species